rnacentral:rRNA from 1 species
UUCCGGUUGAUCCUGCCGGAGGUCACUGCUAUCGGGGUUCGAUUAAGCCAUGCGAGUCGAGAGGGUUCAGACCCUCGGCGGACUGCUCAGUAACACGUGGAUAAUCUGCCCUAUGGUGGAGGAUAACCCCGGGAAACUGGGGAUAAUACUCCAUAAGUCAGGAGUACUGGAAUGUCUCCUAACUGAAAGUUUCGGCGCCAUAGGAUGAAUCUGCGGCCGAUUAGGUAGUUGUUGGGGUAACGGCCCAACAAGCCCGAAAUCGGUACGGGUAGUGGGAGCAAGAGCCCGGAGAUGGAAUCUGAGACACGAUUCCAGGCCCUACGGGGCGCAGCAGGCGCGAAAACUUUACAAUGCAGGAAACUGUGAUAAGGGAACCCCGAGUGCCCGUACACGCGGGCUGUCCCGGUGUUUAAAACACAUCGGAAGAAAGGGCCGGGCAAGACCGGUGCCAGCCGCCGCGGUAAUACCGGCGGCUCGAGUGGUGACCACUUUUAUUGGGCUUAAAGCGUUCGUAGCUUGAUUUUUAAGUCUCUUGGGAAAUCUCACGGCUUAACUGUGAGGCGUCUAAGAGAUACUGGGAAUCUAGGGACCGGGAGAGGUAAGAGGUACUUCAGGGGUAGAAGUGAAAUUCUGUAAUCCUUGAGGGACCACCGAUGGCGAAGGCAUCUUACCAGAACGGCUUCGACAGUGAGGAACGAAAGCUGGGGGAGCGAACGGGAUUAGAUACCCCGGUAUUCCCAGCCGUAAACUAUGCGCGUUAGGUGUGCCUGUAACUACGAGUUACCGGGGUGCCGAAGUGAAAACGUGAAACGUUCCGCCUGGGAAGUACGGUCGCAAGGCUGAAACUUAAAGGAAUUGUCGGGGGAGCACCACGACGGGUGGAGCCUGCGGUUUAAUUGGAUUCCACGCCGGG